UGACAGCCAGAGAAGCUCCUCCCACUGACUCCCCUUGGUUCCCAGGAGGAAGCCUGAGACACUAAGGGGCUGGGCUGGGAUCAGAAGUCAGAGGCUGAUGGGAACAGGUCAGGUCUCUUGUGUGGCCUGGAGACACAGGGGCAUGUCCCUACUCUGGGUCCAGGAGCUGGAGGCAUGGUUCAGCGGCCCAUCAUCCUGGCUGGCACGGAGCUCUGGGGACAGGUCCCAGGCCAGUGCGAAUGCACAUCGGACUAGUUACCAAGAACAUUCAUGCCCUUCUGACAUCUUUCCAGCCCUGUCCCCUCCAGCAACAGAUUCCUGGUUCUAACAUGGAAGGCGAAGGCAUAUGUGGAUUCAUUUUUGAUAAAUUGAUUUUAUUUUGUUGAAA